UUGGCACCGGGCACGCAGGAGG
rnacentral:misc_RNA from 1 species